UACAGAGGUCUCGAGCGUUGUUCGGAUUCAUUGGGCGUAAAGGGUGCGUAGGUGGCGCUGUAAGUCGGGUGUGAAAUCCUGAGGCUUAACCUCGGAACUGCAUUCGAUACUGCGGCGCUUGAGGACUGGAGAGGAGACUGGAAUUUCAUGGUGUAGCAGUGAAAUGCGUAGAGAUCAUGAGGAAGACCAGUGGCGAAGGCGGGUCUCUGGACAGUUCCUGACACUGAGGCACGAAGGCCAGGGGAGCAAACGGG
rnacentral:rRNA from 1 species